rnacentral:rRNA from 1 species
GAUGAACGCUGGCGGCGUGCUUAACACAUGCAAGUCGAACGGGAAACAUUUUAUUGAAGCUUAGGCGGAUUUAGCUUGUUUCUAGUGGCGGACGGGUGAGUAACGCGUGGGUAACCUGCCUUAUACCGGGGGAUAACCGCCAGAAAUGGCUGCUAAUACCGCAUAAGCGCACGGAGCCGCAGGGCUCUGUGUGAAAAACUCCGAUGGUAUAAGAUGGGCCCGCGUUGGAUUAGCUAGUUGGCAGGGAAGCGGCCUACCAAGGCGACGAUGCAUGGCCGGCCUGAGAGGGUGAACGGCCACAGUGGGACGGAGACACGGCCCAGACUCCUACGGGAGGCAGCAGUGGGUAAUAUUGCACAAUGGGGGAAACCCUGAUGCAGCGACGCCGCGUGAAGGAAGAAGUAUCUCGGUAUGUAAACUUCUAUCAGCAGGGAAGAUAAUGACGGUACCUGACUAAGAAGCCCCGGCUAACUACGUGCCAGCCGCCGCGGUAA